AAGACAACUUUGUGUGGUCAGAUCCCUACUUCCGCCUAUUAUAAAGGAUCCAGUGAUGGAACUCUGGGGUGCAGGGUAAGUCCCUUGACACUCUGAGCCAUCUCCCUGGCCUCUAGAAUGAUGUUCUUAUCCUACAAACGUGUAAAGUACUCUAGCUGUGGGACGGCUGUCUUUGGGGUCUCGGUGACCCUUCUGCCCACAUAACCCCCUGUUGCUGGGGUCAGGACCGUUUAUUGAAAGAACUAAGAAAUUGGAGGUUGCUGAACCCUGUGACCGUUGUCUGCAAAGUUCCUUGCCUACUAAGAGGCUGAGAUAAGAGGAUCUGUUGAACUCAAGAUUUCUAAAUAAACCUGGGCCAUACAGCAAGAUCUUUUAAAGAGGAGAAACAGAAAGUAUGAGGAUAUAGGUCAGUAGUAGGUCGCUUUCCGAGUGUAAGCGACGUCUGAGUUCCACCCCCAUGCAUACAGACAGUAAUAAAAGAGAGUGUUCUGUCAGUGAUGAUCGCCCAUGGGUAGAGCGCUUGCACAUCUGGGGACGGUGCAGAAGAAUAAGCAGGCUAGUUGUUUGCUUUGCCCUCUCCAUUUUAUAUAUUGCUUGGCAUGUACUUCCCCUUAGAACAGAGCCCCAGACAUGGUCGGUGCUCACACUGGUAGCACGGGGAUCCAGAUCCUGGCCAGCAGGACUCAGUGGCCCUCUAUCUAAUCUGUAGUCUUGGACCUGCGCUGGGUUGGUGGUACCCUCGAGCACACCAGACUUGCAGAAAAAGCAUACUCCAGAGGAAGCUGAGGCAUGCCUGCUCGAGAGCCAGCGGUUCCAUGUGCAAUUUUCCUCUGAUAAAUCCUGGGUACUGUUGCCACGGUGAUAAUGACUGUGCCGUGUCAUUGUCGAUCCACCAACAGUCAGAGAAGCUUUGCAGUCAAGAUAUUGUUUAGCAGACGGAGCGGUUUCUGUUGGACACUAAGUGCUGCUACAAGACCUCGAGUUACUAACGGUGUUGCUGGAAGUGGCCCGUUUGCACCUGGGGAGUGAAUGUAAAAAUCAGAGAGUGUACACACAUGACCCGUGGAGCCCGCUAGGUCGAGGCUCCGCUGGAAACCCGAGCCACGGGGAAACUGAAGACAGAUGGGAACCGCCUAGCGGAUUCCUUGUCGUUGUGUUGAGUCCUGUUCCUUUUCUGAUGGCAAGCCCCAAACUAAAACCUUGUUCUUUCACAGAUUCCAGACACCGUACAAAGAUGUUUGCAAGAAAAGCAGAGGUAAAAAUAGCUGCUCCAAAAGUCAGACACCUGUGUGGGUUAAGUCACCCCAGCAUCCGGGAGCUUUUAUUCAUUCUUACAUUGCUGUAAGUAGUUUUAAAUAAAUAAAUAAAUAAAUAAAUAAAUAAAUAAAUAAAGGAA
rnacentral:lncRNA from 1 species